rnacentral:rRNA from 1 species
CGAAUGCUGACGUGAGUAACGACAAAACGGGUGAAAAACCCGUUCGCCGAAAGACCAAGGGUUCCAGUCCAACGUUAAUCGGGGCUGGGUGAGUCGACCCCUAAGGCGAGGCCGAAAGGCGUAGUCGAUGGGAAAAUGGUUAAUAUUCCAUUACUUCUGUGUAAUGCGAUGAGAGGACGGAGAAGGCUAAAUCAGCCUGGCGUUGGUUGUCCAGGUGAAAGGAUGUAGGCAUGUAUCUUAGGCAAAUCCGGGGUACUCUAUGCUGAGAUCUGAUAGCAAGCUGUACUUGUACAGCGAAGUGGUUGAUGCCAUGCUUCCAGGAAAAGUCUCUAAGCUUCAGUUACACAGGAAUCGUACCCGAAACCGACACAGGUGGUCAGGUCGAGUAGACCAAGGCGCUUGAGAGAACUCUGCUGAAGGAACUAGGCAAAAUGGUACCGUAACUUCGGGAGAAGGUACGCUGUUGUUGGUGAUGGAACUCGCUUCCUGAGCUGACGACAGCCGCAGAAACCAGGCCGCUGCAACUGUUUAUUAAAAACAUAGCACUCUGCAAACACGAAAGUGGACGUAUAGGGUGUGAUGCCUGCCCGGUGCUGGAAGGUUAAUUGAUGGGGUUAGCGUAAGCGAAGCUCUUGAUCGAAGCCCCAGUAAACGGCGGCCGUAACUAUAACGGUCCUAAGGUAGCGAAAUUCCUUGUCGGGUAAGUUCCGACCUGCACGAAUGGCAUAAUGAUGGCGGCGCUGUCUCCAGCAGAGGCUCAGUGAAAUCGAAAUCGCUGUGAAGAUGCAGUGUACCCGCGGCUAGACGGAAAGACCCCGUGAACCUUUACUGCAGCUUGACACUGAACUUUGACCUUACUUGUGUAGGAUAGGUGGGAGGCUUUGAAGCUGGAACGCUAGUUCCAGUGGAGCCGUCCUUGAAAUACCACCCUGGUAAUGUUGAGGUUCUAACUCUGUCCCGUGAUCCGGGACGAGGACCGUGUCUGGUGGGUAGUUUGACUGGGGCGGUCUCCUCCUAAAGAGUAACGGAGGAGUACGAAGGUGCGCUCAGCGUGGUCGGAAAUCACGCGUAGAGUAUAAAGGCAAAAGCGCGCUUAACUGCGAGACCCACAAGUCGAGCAGGUACGAAAGUAGGUCUUAGUGAUCCGGUGGUUCUGUAUGGAAGGGCCAUCGCUCAACGGAUAAAAGGUACUCUGGGGAUAACAGGCUGAUACCGCCCAAGAGUUCAUAUCGACGGCGGUGUUUGGCACCUCGAUGUCGGCUCAUCUCAUCCUGGGGCUGAAGCAGGUCCCAAGGGUAUGGCUGUUCGCCAUUUAAAGAGGUACGCGAGCUGGGUUUAGAACGUCGUGAGACAGUUCGGUCCCUAUCUACCGUGGGCGCUGGAAAUUUGAGAGGAUCUGCUCCUAGUACGAGAGGACCAGAGUGGACGAACCUCUGGUGUACCGGUUGUGACGCCAGUCGCAUCGCCGGGUAGCUAUG